rnacentral:lncRNA from 1 species
AUAAUCUAAUUUAUAGCCAGGAACAGAACAUAAAAGAAUUUUAAGGGUUUUCACUGAAGGCUUAAUGCUUGCUGUAAAACCUGUUUGCACUAAUGCUCCCACUCUGGUGAGGAUUUCACAGUCUGUUGCAGUUCAUCAGGUGAGCAGGGGAGCACAUGCAUGCAGGUGCAAAGCAUCAGCAACGCGCUCCUGCCCGACCUCCCCAGCUCUGCUCUUCCUGCUCAGGAGCAGCUGGGAAUGCUGCCCCAUCAGGGUCUGCCCGCAGCCCUGGGAAGAGGCUGCUGGCAUCCUCUCUGCUCUUAAGGCACCAGGGAUGGCUGUGUUGGGCUCUGGCUGCUUAAUAGGGUUUGUUCUGCUGUCCUAAAAAUAACCCACGUGGUAACACGUCAGAGGAAAGAAAACAGUAAGAAAACGAGUCUUUGUAGAAGAAAAGGAUGUUCCUGCUAGGCUUGUUAUAAGCAUCCAAAAUCGCAGCUGUUUGCAUGCCUUCGGGCUCAGUCAGCCUGGAGGUGCAGGCAGGAGAGCAGCAGGGUUCCCACACCGCUGCCAAUGGGGACAUGCUGAUGCCCAGCCUGGCACCUGGUUGUGGCAGCAGAGCUGGUGCAGGGCGAUGCCGGGCUCCUCACAGGCACAGCAGCACCUGCUGCAGAGCAGGAGCCCAGAUCUCCAUUCUGUUGCACCAUUUGGCCCCAGUCUGUGCCCGUGGAUGGCUGACUUAUUCUGCUCUCAGCAAGUUGUUCUGCACGAGUAUCUUUGGGCCGGAAUUUUCAAAGGAUCGAAAUCCCACCCAUGUUAGCCCAGCAUAAGCACUGCCAGGACCGACCCAUUUUCAGCUUCCAAGCAGUGUCAGACAGGAAGAAGAGGAAGGAUGGCAUGCUGUUCUGUGCUCUGUGCUGCUGUUCUGAGCUGCUGCUCUGCGCUGGUGCUGAAAAUGCUGCUCCAUUCUGUCUGCACAGAUCACUCAGAACAGUUGCACAUGGUACUUAUUGCUACGUUUUCACUGGAUGUAGCUGGUGAGAGAAAGCGAAGGACUCUUCUUUGGGAGGACAAUUGGAUGUGUGGGGUCCACCAGUGGUGUCCUUGUUCUCCCUGGGGCCAGGAGCUGUGCCUUGGGCACUGCAGCACCGGGGGAAGCCUGGAGCAGGUCCUACAUGGAGGUGUGAGCGGCUUCUAAGGACAAGCAUAUAUGCAGGGGUUGUUAUUCACUCGUAAGUUUGCUGCAUCCAGCUCAGCCCCCGAGUGACAAGAAUAAACUACCCUGCAAUUGUUCGUCCCUUUUUUAA